rnacentral:rRNA from 1 species
GCUGUGGAUUGUCCUUUGGACAAUGGUAGGAGAGCGUUCUAAGGGCGUUGAAGCAUGAUCGUAAGGACAUGUGGAGCGCUUAGAAGUGAGAAUGCCGGUGUGAGUAGCGAAAGACGGGUGAGAAUCCCGUCCACCGAUUGACUAAGGUUUCCAGAGGAAGGCUCGUCCGCUCUGGGUUAGUCGGGUCCUAAGCUGAGGCCGACAGGCGUAGGCGAUGGAUAACAGGUUGAUAUUCCUGUACCACCUAUA